GCUGGGGUUGCGGCUCAGUGGUAGAGCACUUGCUUGGCACGUGUGAGGCACUGGAUUCGAUCCUCAGCA
rnacentral:tRNA from 1 species